rnacentral:misc_RNA from 1 species
CAUCUUAUAAUAUUUGAAUAUUAAUGCAAAACUAAUCUUAGACAGAAUUAAAUGAUGAAAAAUGAUCAAUAUAACAAAUCCCAAUUCUCGACUAGUUUGAGAUUUAAGGGUUUUGAUUAUUGUUUAUUUAUAAUUUUUGUACAAAUUUAUUUUCAUUUUAAAUAAACAAAGCUUUAUACAGUUCUCUCGGAUAUUUUUAUUUCAAUCUACUUGCCACAAUUUGCACAGAGCUUAAUUGUGCUAAUUCAGCUCCAUCCUGCUGCUGGCAUUACCAUUGUAAUAGUAAUCUUGGCACUCUUCUCCUUUACAAUAUAACAAUGAUAAUAAAUCUCAAUGUUAGUAAUGAUAUUAUUGUAAUUCCAUUAUUCAACACUGAAAUGGAAUGCUUUUUAGUUUUUGCUUAAUGGGCUAAGAGCAACUGCAAAACUAAAUCCAUCAUCCAAGAACCAUAUAUCACUAAUGAAUCCAUGCUCUAUUACAUAAAAUUGGGCACAAAUUGUAUGCUUUCAAACAAGAGAAACAAAUCUAAUUACAAAAAUGAUACAAAUUCCUACACCAAAUAAGGAAAUAUGACCAUUGAGCUUUGGUGAACUAGAGGAACUCUUCCCUAUGAACUCACCUGAAUUGGGCACAGGUUCUAAUGCUUCUGAUCUUGGAGGAUCUGCAGAACUUAGAGGCCACCGGGUGUCGUUUGUUGGAGUAGGAAAAAAAGAAGAAAUAUUGGGUGCAGUUACAUAUGGCAAAACUGCUGGAGAAGCUGCAAUCAUAUGCUCACUAGAAAGAGCAAGCAAAUUAGAGAAGAGGAUAACUAGAGACACAGCAGCAGCAGCAGCAGCAGAACUAGCACAAGCAGUAGAAACAGUAGCUUAAACCGGUACUUUAUUCUCUUAAAUUUCACCUUUUUUUUCGAAUUCUUUCAUUUUGUUUCUCCUGGUAAAGCAAUUGAUUAUAGAAUCCUGAUUCAUUGAAACUUGUUGAAUCAUUCAGCAGUUUCUCCCCGGGCUGCUGGCCUUUCUUCUGCACAAAGAAAAUAAAAAACAAGAGACAUAGAGGAUGCAUCUUCUGAUUGAGCACAAAGAUUGCUUUCAUGACAGCACCUCCAGAAGCUUUGCACGGGAAAUGGCACAAGCAACAAAAAUUAACAAAAGGAUCAAUUUUGGUAGACGUGUGAUAAAUUUCCUCAGAAAAACUCCCGUGGAAACAGAAUUUUGAUGGCAUCCACCUUCCUAUGGAUGAAAACAGUUUUGUAGGCAGCAGCUAAAACCUCAUGAGCAGACAAUCUGUAUAAAUGCAUUGUUCUUUAAUAUCUCUCAUGUCGAUUGGGGAAACGAAGACAAACAUCCAGCUUUUUUAUUUCCUGUUUUCCAUUUCUAGCUGCUUUUUGGGUAUUUCAUCUGUUUCUAAAAUUAUUCCUUUCCAGCCAAAUGUAACAAGAAAAAAGCCAAGUCACAAUUCCCAAACACUGGUAGCCACUCCUGUAUGCACAUUUGUAUCAAUUGCACCAUUUCCAUAAAUCAGUGAUUAAAAGUAACUAUAAAAACCUGUCCUUCAAAUACCUAACCUCAAACAUCGAAUUGCAAAUACAUUUACAAAUCCCUGAUUUACAUUUCCUCAUGACAACUACAAGCCUUUGAUGAUGUAAUUUUAUUGCCCAAGUAAAAACCCAGAUGCAUCUCCCUCUUCAUUUUCUUUAGUCGUGACUCCUUUCUUCUUGAUAUUAUGUAUUAUAUGAAAAUUUCUAUUUUAAACUGAAACGGUUCAUUGCAAAACACAGUGAAAUAAACUGUCAGCUUAGUUAUCUUUGUCGUCUUCAGUAUCCUGCAGAAGGGCACCCCUCACUUUUGCCCUGUACAAACAUUUUAUGAGUCAUUGAUAAGAGAAACAUAGGUUCAUAUAAUGUAAUAUUCUUAAGUACCUGCGAUAUGCGGGCACAACACGAUUAGCAACUUUCUUUGAGACUGGAUCUUGAGCUGAUUGUUUGUCUGUUGAAGAAGAUGCCAGAAAACUGUUAUUCCCCCCCUUUAGAAAUGAUCAAAUAACUUACAAAAUAGUUCCAGUUUUAGCACAUACAAAAAGAUAAAAAAUAUGCAAAUGCAAAAAUCAAGGCCAGCUUGGACUUAAAGAGGUUGUUAAACCGAAAAAAGAAAUACUGGAUCAGCAGCUGGUUCCUGGUUAACCCGAUCCAACCAGCAAGACAAGUCCAGCUCUAAGAACAUUGUCCUCCACGAUGUGCAUAGUGACCAGAUUCCAGAAAUGAUUUUCAGUCCUAAUCCCUAUAUUUUUCUUUGAUUCUCUGAUCAUUUGUUAGAUUCCACUUAAAUCUGCAAGUUGGAAGCAAGCUUCUAAUUCAAUGUGAAACCAAAUCCAGUUGAAAGGGUAUCCAGUAUACUUUUCCAGUUUUGAUUUUGAAACACUCCAUCUGCAAAAUAGUCUCGCAUGCACAAUGGAAUAAUGGAGAUGUACAUGGGUAUGUUAGGUAGGACAUAGCCAAACUUGUAAUAAGAUUGCAUCACAUGAGUUACUAUUUUGUUUGGUGCACAGAAAAAAAAAUUAUAUUGUAAUGUAAUGCAAUGCCAAUUAUAUUAUGUAAUCACCAUUACUUUAGUUACUCUUAUUCUCAUUACAUAUAAAACGUGUGUAUUCGUGAUUAUACCAUUAGUUUUUUAGCACUUUUUUUUUCUACUGCUACUACAAUCACCAUCCUUACUCUUGCAGAUGCCACCCAUCCACCACCACCAUUGCCCAACAACCACCACCACCAACGGUGGAGCUUGCCCAAUUGAAGGGGCCAAAUUAAAUUUAUACAAAUAAGUUGUAAUUUGUAAAUAUAUUAGUUUAAAUUGAUAAAUGAAAUUAAUCACUUUUUAGUAUAUGCUAUUAAAAUAUAAAUUAAAAAUCUUAAUUUCAUUCAUAAAACAAAAUAUUUU